rnacentral:rRNA from 1 species
UACGUAGGUGGCGAGCGUUGUCCGGAUUUACUGGGCGUAAAGGGCGCGUAGGCGGUCUUGUAAGUUCCGUGUGAAAUCCCUCGGCUCAACUGAGGAACCGCACGGAAAACUGCUUGGCUUGAGUUCGGGAGAGGGAAGCGGAAUUCCGGGUGUAGCGGUGAAAUGCGUAGAUAUCCGGAGGAACACCGGUGGCGAAGGCGGCUUCCUGGACCGACACUGACGCUGAGGCGCGAAAGCUAGGGGAGCAAACGGG